ensembl:lncRNA
AGCUGUAGGCUCCUCCCCCCUGUUAUCGUCAGUGUGCCGCUAAUCGAGUCAACAGAUGAGGGACGGCUACUGAGCAACCUGAACGGCUGAACCCUGCUGCUUUGUCUUAUAUUUCGUCUGCAGUUUCAAUUACAGCGCCGUCCGCUGUUGUGUUUACAGCUUUGCCUGUUGUCCUUGUGUAUAGCGCUGUUUGUUGUCUGUUGCCUACAGCGUUGCAACAGAUUUGGCGUUGUGUUACCACGGCCGGAACCGUUACAGCCAUUUUCAUAAGUGUGCCGCCUUGGCCAUUGGAGGUCUGUGGUGGUGGCGGUGUCCCUUUUCUUCCUGUGUGCUGUGCUUCCCUGGGAUUUGUGUUUGUGUGUGUGAUUAUCAUUUACCCGGGUGAUUUAUAUUAUUUGGACCCUUCCCUUCGCUAGUCCCCCCAUUCACAUCAGCCUCCGCGUUAACAGUUUAUUGUGUGAUUAUUCCAUUGGAUUAAUUAAAUAAAAUAUAUAUUGUUAAAAC